rnacentral:misc_RNA from 1 species
AAUAUAGUCAUUAUGUUAAAAUCAGUAUAUUUUGCUGUCUAUUUAUGAAGAAUGACUUCAAAGUUCCGUAGGACACACUCCAAAGUUGCAAUCACUAUGGGAUUUGCACUUCAUAGUUUCAAUGUAGACCAUCCAUUUUUGGAAAACAAAGAACCAGUCAGGCUAAUCAAUAUGUUUUUGCUACAAUUUUCUGAAGAAAAACUUCAAAGCUUCUUAAGAUGUACUCUAAAG